UCUCAUUUAGUAUCACUUCAUCUACAAUGGCUCUCUGCUUUUCCUCUCUCUCGCUCUUCUCUUUCUCAGCCUUCUCAUUUUUCUCCUGUUUCUUCAUCUUCCAGAAGUAGACCAGGUUUUUCUCGGGGUAGGUGACUUUGGCCAGUGGCAGCUUGAAGAUCCUAUUGGUCCCCGUGGUUAAGAGGAGGAAAGUAAGUGCAGAUAGACAGAACGGCCAUGUGCAGGCUGGCAGACCAAACUGUGGAGGGAAAAUACAAUAAUGUUGGGUAGAAGGAGCCACCAGUACCAGUCUCCUUCUUUGGAGAACACAGCCAUCAGCAGACCCACAAGAAUGCCGUUGUAACCGUAGAGACCAGCAGCAAUUGCACCCCUGAGGGAAGCACAGAAAUAAGGGCAGAUAUGGUGGCAAAGAGUGUGCCCACAAAGCCGUUCAGAGCCCACCAGUAGUUCUGCAAGAUGAGGCCGGCAAAAAUGAUGAGGCCACUUAGAGGGUUGUUGACGAACAUCACCUGAGCAGCCCCACGCAGAACCCAGUCCAGUAACUGCAGCAAGAAGAACUGUUCUGUAAGAUGGAAAGAGGGAAAAGACAGGGGCCCUGAGGGGGUUUGUCGUGCCCGGGUGCUACGGCGGAUCCCCUACUAAGCUUCCCCAAAGCGACUACGAGUUCAAAAUCGAUCAAUACAAUAAUCCGUAAU